rnacentral:rRNA from 1 species
GAUGAACGCUGGUGGCGUGCUUAACACAUGCAAGUCGAACGGAAAGGCCGAAGCUUGCUUCGGUACUCGAGUGGCGAACGGGUGAGUAACACGUGGGUGAUCUGCCCUGUACUUCGGGAUAAGCUUGGGAAACUGGGUCUAAUACCGGAUAUGACGAUCUCUUGGAUGGGGUUGUGGAAAGCUUUUGCGGUAUGGGAUGAGCUCGCGGCCUAUCAGCUUGUUGGUGGGGUAAUGGCCUACCAAGGCGUCGACGGGUAGCCGGCCUGAGAGGGUGUACGGCCACAUUGGGACUGAGAUACGGCCCAGACUCCUACGGGAGGCAGCAGUGGGGAAUAUUGCACAAUGGGCGCAAGCCUGAUGCAGCGACGCCGCGUGGGGGAUGACGGCCCUCGGGUUGUAAACUCCUUUCGCAAUCGACGAAGCCUUUUGGUGACGGUAGGUUGAGAAGAAGCACCGGCUAACUACGUG